GAGAAGGCACAUGGUCACACACACAGUGACAGUGUUGGGCGUGUGCUGCUGACUGCAAAGAUGGCAUGACAGCAGGAGGGCGAGGUGAGCUGUGUCCCUGAAGUUCGCUGUGUGCAUACAGCCCAGGAGUUUAGUGCAAUCUGGUGAAUCCUGGAGUGUGUAAGCUGCGAGAGGGAGCCUGAGAAGACGGGGCUGGAAACGGCAGCCUGCAACAGGAGGAUGUACACAGUCACCCAUCCACACACAGUAGUGAGUCUGCUGGGCUGGUAGACAAGCUGAAAGAGCAGGCCGCCUUCUGGUAAUGUUCACAGGAAGAGAAGGAUUCUGUUGCUCACAACUCCAAAUCUUCCUGCAACAAUCGCUAAUGUACCUCUAAUGACAGAGUUGAUCCUAGACUCCCACCUGCUGGGGAUGUGAAGGUCCCUGCCUUGGUAGAACAUGGUUUAGGGCCCAGAGGAGAGAGACCGGCGUGCCAUCCACUGGAUACACAUGAGUUUUUCUGGAGAGCAGAGAGGCGAUGAGAAGCAGAGCGGUGGAAGGGACCAUUGGGAGGACCUGCUGGCUCGGGUGCACGGGUUGUGCAGGAGAGGCGGCUUGGGGACCUCAUCUCACCAAACCUUGCAAGAAGCCCUUGGGGAGUUCGUGCCUCAUCCUCAUCUUACAGAUGAAUGGCUACGACUGAAAGUGACUGACGGGCGGUCCCCCAGCCAGGAGGCCAGGAAGCCACUGACUCGUGUGUGUGGGUUCGCCCAAGUCCUCCCGCGGGCACGUCUGGUCAGGGGAAAGCCCGCCCCUCAGGAAU